ACGCUGUCGCCGCAGCUUCUUCCGGCUAGCUGGGGAACGCCGAGGCUGCGGAGCGCACGCCUGGGCUCCGUCAGAGGGCCGCGCCCGCGCGACGACCGCGUGCCAGCUAGUGGGAGGCGGGCGAGGACCCCUGGGGGUGUCCCUCCCUGACCCAGGCGGGAGGAGGGGACUCCUCAGGCUGUUUUGUAAAAUGUGUCGAUGUCACCCUUCCGGCUGUUGCUCCUGACUGUGGACAAGAUUAAGGAAAAAAAGAGGUCACAGAUAAAUAUCGUGCCAAAACGGCGUGGACUUGGAACUGACCUCCAGGCGCGAUGUCAUUAUUUAACUCGAGAAGUCACAGCUUCUGCAUCCUACUAUUCUGCCAAUAUUCACAAGCCAAGAGGCUCAACUUAACACCCUGGUAGAAAAAGAGAAGCCUUUAAUAUUGCUUGAACAGGGAAGGAGAGGGAAUAAUGGAACUAACCUUGCUGGGAGGGGAAAAAAAAAACAACUGAACACUGAAUGAAGCCUAUGAAGCAAUGAAUGGAGUGCUUUUUGGAAAGUACUUCCAGAUCUUUUGAAAAGCAGCACAAAAUUAAAUAUUAUUUGCAAACGAGUUAAUGAAUAGGAAAAUAUUUUGUAAAGUAUUAUGCAUUAUAUAAUGUAAUACGAUAUUGCUAUUCCAGA